rnacentral:rRNA from 1 species
CCUACGGGAGGCAGCAGUGGGGAAUAUUGGGCAAUGGGCGAAAGCCUGACCCAGCGACGCCGCGUGGGGGAUGAAGGCCUUCGGGUCGUAAACCCCUGUCAGGAGGGACGAAGCCCUGAUCAUAUAUCAGGGUGACGGUACCUCCAGAGGAAGCCCCGGCUAACUACGUGCCAGCAGCCGCGGUAAAACGUAGGGGGCAAGCGUUGUCCGGAUUCACUGGGCGUAAAGGGUCCGUAGGCGGCCUGCUAAGUCGGACGUAAAAGCCCCUGGCUUAACUGGGGAAUUGCGUCCGAAACUGGUGGGCUAGAGCCCAGGAGAGGAAAGUGGAAUUCCCGGUGUAGCGGUGAAAUGCGCAGAUAUCGGGAGGAACACCAGUGGGGAAGCCGGCUUUCUGGCCUGUGGCUGACGCUGAGGGACGAAAGCCAGGGGAGCGAACCG